rnacentral:rRNA from 1 species
AGGACGAACGCUGGCGGCGUGCUUAACACAUGCAAGUCGAGCGGAAAGGCCCUUCGGGGUACUCGAGCGGCGAACGGGUGAGUAACACGUGAGUAAUCUGCCCCUAGCUCUGGGGAUAGCUCCGGGAAACCGGGAUUAAUACCGGAUACGACCACCUUAGACAUCUUUUGUGGUGGAAAGAAUUUCGGCUAGGGAUGAGCUCGCGGCCUAUCAGCUUGUUGGUGGGGUAACGCCUACCAAGGCGACGACGGGUA